rnacentral:rRNA from 1 species
AUUUGAGUGAGUGGCGGACGGGUGAGUAACACGUGGGUAACCUGCCCUAAAGUGGGGGAUAACAUUUGGAAACAGAUGCUAAUACCGCAUAAAACCUAACACCGCAUGGUGUAGGGUUGAAAGAUGGUUUCGGCUAUCACUUUAGGAUGGACCCGCGGUGCAUUAGUUAGUUGGUGAGGUAAAGGCUCACCAAGACCGUGAUGCAUAGCCGACCUGAGAGGGUAAUCGGCCACACUGGGACUGAGACACGGCCCAGACUCCUACGGGAGGCAGCAGUAGGGAAUCUUCCACAAUGGACGAAAGUCUGAUGGAGCAACGCCGCGUGAGUGAAGAAGGUUUUCGGAUCGUAAAACUCUGUUGUUGGAGAAGAAUGUAUCUGAUAGUAACUGAUCAGGUAGUGACGGUAUCCAACCAGAAAGCCACGGCUAACUACGUGCCAGCAGCCGCGGUAAUACGUAGGUGGCAAGCGUUGUCCGGAUUUAUUGGGCGUAAAGCGAGCGCAGGCGGUUUCUUAAGUCUGAUGUGAAAGCCUUCGGCUCAACCGAAGAAGUGCAUCGGAAACUGGGAAACUUGAGUGCAGAAGAGGACAGUGGAACUCCAUGUGUAGCGGUGAAAUGCGUAGAUAUAUGGAAGAACACCAGUGGCGAAGGCGGCUGUCUGGUCUGUAACUGACGCUGAGGCUCGAAAGCAUGGGUAGCAAACAGGAUUAGAUACCCUGGUAGUCCAUGCCGUAAACGAUGAGUGCUAGGUGUUGGAGGGUUUCCGCCCUUCAGUGCCGCAGCUAACGCAUUAAGCACUCCGCCUGGGGAGUACGACCGCAAGGUUGAAACUCAAAGGAAUUGACGGGGGCCCGCACAAGCGGUGGAGCAUGUGGUUUAAUUCGAAGCAACGCGAAGAACCUUACCAGGUCUUGACAUCCUUUGACCACUCUAGAGAUAGAGCUUUCCCUUCGGGGACAAAGUGACAGGUGGUGCAUGGUUGUCGUCAGCUCGUGUCGUGAGAUGUUGGGUUAAGUCCCGCAACGAGCGCACCCUUAUUACUAGUUGCCAGCAUUUAGUUGGGCACUCUAGUGAAACUGCCGGUGACAAACCGAAGGAAGGUGGGGACGACGUCAAUCAUCAUGCCCCUUAUGACUGGGC